rnacentral:rRNA from 1 species
GAACUAGUCUUCGGAUUAGUUCCUAGCGGCGAACGGUCGCGUAACACGUAAGCAACCUGCCCCAAAGACCGGGACAACGUUCCGAAAGGAGCGCUAAUACCGGAUGUGGCCGCUUUGUUGCAUGACAGAGCGAUUAAACCGAGCAAUCGGCCUUGGGAGGGGCUUGCGGCCUAUCAGCUAGUUGGUGGGGUAACGGCCUACCAAGGCGACGACGGGUAGCUGGUCUGAGAGGAUGUCCAGCCGGACUGGGACUGAGAUACGGCCCAGACUCCUACGGGGGGCAGCAAUUAGGAAUCUUGCGCAAUGGGCGAAAGCCUGACGCAGCGACGCCGCGUGAGGGAGGAAGGCCUUCGGGUUGUAAACCUCUUUUAUCCGGGAAGAAUACAAUUGACGGUACCGGAUGAAUAAGCCACGGCUAACUCCGUGCCAGCAGCCGCGGUAAUACGGAGGUGGCGAGCGUUGUCCGAAGUUACUGGGCGUAAAGCGCGCGUAGGCGGGCUAUUAAGUGAGGGGUGAAAGGCUGAGGCUCAACCUCAUGUUGGUCCUCUCAUACUGAUAGUCUUGAGUGAGGCAGGGAGAAGUGGAAUGGCUGGUGUAGCGGUGAAAUGCGUAGGUAUCAGUCGGAACACCGGUGGCGAAGGCGGCUUCUUGGGCCUUAACUGACGCUGAGGCGCGAAAGCUGGGGGAGCGAACGGGAUUAGAUACCCCGGUAGUCCCAGUCGUAAACGAUGGAUACUAGGUGUCGGGGGUAUCGACCCCUCCGGUGCCGCAGCUAACGCAUUAAGUAUCCCGCCUGGGGAGUACGGCCGCAAGGUUGAAACUCAAAGGAAUUGACGGGGGCCCGCACAAGCGGUGGAGCAUGUUGUUUAAUACGUCACUAACCGUAGAACCUUACCAGGGCU